GAGGAUCUUUAUUUACAGUGUUCCUGUUGAGAAUAGGAAAUAAAAAUCUUAUGUGUGAAAAAAGAAGUUCUACACAUCAAGAUGAAAUUCCAAGUUAAAGAGAGAUAAAUGAAAAACAACUAUUGUAUUUGUUGCAUGAAACAAGACGUAAGGUAAUUAAGUAAUAGGAACUUGUAGGCCUUUCAAAUUCACUGGAAGAAAUGCAUUGUGAAUCUCAUAUGGCAUGGAUGGUUCCAUAACCUAUGGAUAUUUAUAAUCAAGAAUACAGAAGUACCAGUCCCCAAGUCUA
rnacentral:misc_RNA from 1 species